GACGUAGGGCGCGAGCGUUGUCCGGAUUUAUUGGGCGUAAAGAGCUCGUAGGCGGCUUGUUGCGUCAGCUGUGAAAACCCGCAGCUCAACUGUGGGCUUGCAGCUGAUACGGGCAGGCUUGAGUUCGGUAGGGGAGACUGGAAUUCCUGGUGUAGCGGUGAAAUGCGCAGAGAUCCGGAGGAACACCAGCGGCGAAGGCGGCAUCCUGGACUGGUCCUGACGCUCAGGAGCGAAAGCGUGGGGAGCGAUCCGG
rnacentral:rRNA from 1 species